UACGUAGGGUGCAAGCGUUAAUCGGAAUUACUGGGCGUAAAGCGUGCGCAGGCGGUUUUGUAAGUCUGUCGUGAAAGCGCCGGGCUCAACCUGGGAAUUGCGAUGGAGACUGCAAGGAUUGAAUGUGGCAGAGGGGGGUAGAAUUCCACGUGUAUGAGUGAAAUGCGUAGAGAUGUGGAGGAACACCGAUGGCGAAGGCAGGCCCCUGGGUCAAGAUU
rnacentral:rRNA from 1 species